rnacentral:sRNA from 1 species
UACUAGCCCCGAUGGAAACGGCAUCCUUUUUUGUGGCUGACGGAAUGAAAUAGAGGCAGCCGCAAAAAAGAUAUAGUGGACAGCGGGUUCCCGG